UGGGUGCUAAGAGAAUGGAUGAAUGUAUAUAAAUUGUUUUUUUUUAAAAAUUAAAAAUUAAUUUAAAAAUGAAAAAGUUUUUAUGUAUUAAUGGGACAAGAAGACCCUAUGAAUCUUAAUUAUUUUUAAAAUUAAAAAUUAUUUUAAUAUAAUUUAAUUGGGGCGAUUGAAAAAGAAUAUUUAUCUUUAUUUUGAAUUUAUUUUUUAAAUAUGGGAAAAGAUACUCUAGGGAUAACAGCGUUAUUAUUUUGGAUAGUUCAUAUUGAUAAAAUAGUUUGGCACCUCGAUGUUGAA
rnacentral:rRNA from 1 species